rnacentral:rRNA from 1 species
GACCUCAUAAAGUGCGUCGUAGUCCGGAUUGGAGUCUGCAACUCGACUCCAUGAAGUCGGAAUCGCUAGUAAUCGUGGAUCAGAAUGCCACGGUGAAUACGUUCCCGGGCCUUGUACACACCGCCCGUCACACCAUGGGAGUGGGUUGCAAAAGAAGUAGGUAGCUUAACCUUCGGGAGGGCGCUUACCACUUUGUGAUUCAUGACUGGGGUGAAGUCGUAACAAGGUAACCGUAGGGGAACCUGCGGUUGGAUCAC